AUGUUUGGUGAUAUCCUCCUAGUAAUUAUCCUUUGUGUUCUUUCCAGGGAGAGACAGGAGAGCGAGGAGAAGGUGGCCUGCCAGGGAAUCCUGGACCGAGGGGUGAAGCUGGGGAGCAAGGUCUAGUGGGCAUUCCUGGUGAGAAGGGAGAAAUGGGACUUCCAGGAUCUCCAGGGUUCCAAGGCCUAAGAGGAGAGAAAGGGGAUGAGGGUAAAAAAGGUGGCCUGGGACUCCCUGGACUGAAAGGUGACAGAGGAGAAAAGGGUGAAGCUGGUCCUGCUGGCCCUCCUGGUCCCCCUGGCUUCCCUGGAACAGUAAGUUAUAUGACACUGGAUUCUUUUCUCUUCUCUAAACUGUUAACAGCUUUUAUUACGUACCUCAUACAGUUUUUUACUUGAUUUCAUUUCUAAUGUACUUAUGAAGUAAUGUUUAAGAUUCAUGUUGUAAUAUAGACACAUUUUCCCAUAAUAGGUUCCUACCUUUGAUUCAUCUCUCUACACACAUUAUAAGUUUCUGAAACAUACAUAGACCAGGUGCUCUAAUUCUCUUGUGGCCUUCCGUAGCAUCAAACAAUGUUCUAGGCAUAGAUUUUUUUCCCUAAAAAGCCCCACAAGGUUUUGAUAAACAAAAUAAA
rnacentral:lncRNA from 1 species